GAUUAAGUUAUUAAGGGCGCACGGUGGAUGCCUUGGCACUAGAAGCCGAUGAAGGACGUUACUAACGACGAUAUGCUUUGGGGAGCUGUAAGUAAGCUUUGAUCCAGAGAUUUCCGAAUGGGGAAACCCAGCAUGAGUUAUGUCAUGUUAUCGAUAUGUGAAUACAUAGCAUAUCAGAAGGCACACCCGGAGAACUGAAACAUCUUAGUACCCGGAGGAAGAGAAAGAAAAUUCGAUUCCCUUAGUAGCGGCGAGCGAAACGGGAAGAGCCCAAACCAACAAGCUUGCUUGUUGGGGUUGUAGGACACUCUAUACGGAGUUACAAAGGACGACAUUAGACGAAUCAUCUGGAAAGAUGAAUCAAAGAAGGUAAUAAUCCUGUAGUCGAAAAUGUUGUCUCUCUUGAGUGGAUCCUGAGUACGACGGAGCACGUGAAAUUCCGUCGGAAUCUGGGAGGACCAUCUCCUAAGGCUAAAUACUCUCUAGUGACCGAUAGUGAACCAGUACCGUGAGGGAAAGGUGAAAAGCACCCCGGAAGGGGAGUGAAAUAGAACCUGAAACCGUGUGCUUACAAGUAGUCAGAGCCCGUUAAUGGGUGAUGGCGUGCCUUUUGUAGAAUGAACCGGCGAGUUACGAUUUGAUGCAAGGUUAAGCAGUAAAUGUGGAGCCGUAGCGAAAGCGAGUCUGAAUAGGGCGUUUAGUAUUUGGUCGUAGACCCGAAACCAGGUGAUCUACCCUUGGUCAGGUUGAAGUUCAGGUAACACUGAAUGGAGGACCGAACCGACUUACGUUGAAAAGUGAGCGGAUGAACUGAGGGUAGCGGAGAAAUUCCAAUCGAACCUGGAGAUAGCUGGUUCUCUCCGAAAUAGCUUUAGGGCUAGCCUCAAGUGAUGAUUAUUGGAGGUAGAGCACUGUUUGGACGAGGGGCCCCUCUCGGGUUACCGAAUUCAGACAAACUCCGAAUGCCAAUUAAUUUAACUUGGGAGUCAGAACAUGGGUGAUAAGGUCCGUGUUCGAAAGGGAAACAGCCCAGACCACCAGCUAAGGUCCCAAAAUAUAUGUUAAGUGGAAAAGGAUGUGGCGUUGCCCAGACAACUAGGAUGUUGGCUUAGAAGCAGCCAUCAUUUAAAGAGUGCGUAAUAGCUCACUAGUCGAGUGACACUGCGCCGAAAAUGUACCGGGGCUAAACAUAUUACCGAAGCUGUGGAUUGUCCUUUGGACAAUGGUAGGAGAGCGUU
rnacentral:rRNA from 1 species